rnacentral:lncRNA from 1 species
GCGGAAGGACUUACGAAAGAGGUCAUUAACAUACGUAGGUUUGAUGCUGCUCUUGUAGUCGCUGCUCAGAUUUUGCUGCUGUUCUUUUCCUUUUUUUUUUUUUUUUUUCUUUGCUCAAGGUCUCGCCCAGGAGGACACUUCCAGAAUGUGAUUAAAAAGCUAAAACUUCGAGAGCCGGGAAACUCGACGUCGACUCGGAGCUCUUGGCGGGAUUAUUUGCUCUGUGGACGAGGCCCCUGUGAGGAUCUCGCACACCUCUGAGCAUCCUUCCCGGGGCCCGGCUCGCCGCCACCUCGGACGUCUCGACAGCGGGAGUUCACCUCCUCCGCCCCCUCAGCUCCCUGCACUCCUGUCCAGGCGCGCGUGGAGAUCUUCUCCUCUAAUAAGGCCUGGGACCGCGGCCAAGCGCUCCUUACGGCUGGCAGAGCAUCUCCUUCCGAGCCCCACGUCCCCCGGUAGCUCAGCAAAGGAGGGGAUGCUGGCAUCGAUGCAGGCGGGGGAGGGAAUCUCAUGGGAUGCUUUUUUGCUGCUGAACCCCGGGGGGAAUUCUUUUUGCACAGAUUACUGUCUCACAGCUCUGGGAUCAGUCACUUGGCCCGUAUCAAAAAGGGGGUCAGAUUUGUCGUCUUGGUUACUGGUCGAAAGUCCAUCGCUUUGCGAAGACGCUUGCUGCGUUACGUCACUCCCGUGUGCACGAGACUUCUGGAUAAAAGCAUUUACGAUAAAACCACCGACUGUCUUCCAGAUAAAAUACCAAAAAGAAGGCACUGUCCUUAACAACGGCUGGUGUACUUCAGGUUCGUCACGCCUCUCAUGAAAGCGGCUGGGAAAUCGAUAUAACAGCUCCAAGGUCUCCGUGGUUUUGUUUUUAGGGUUUUUUUUCUGGCCCCAUGUGAACAAAUCAUACGGGCCCUUAAAGACAGUCCAGGAAUGCAGGCAUAAAACAUAAAAAAAUUAGUCUGAAUGUCAUAUGACUUUCGUGUGUCGCUCCUUUUUCACCAUACUUUUCUGGAACUUUCUAGCGGACCCAUAAUCCCAUUCAGCCGAACUGAAAUCGCAAACAGCAAAAAUUUAAAGUGUUCUGCUUUUUUUUUGUUUUUUUUUUUGCAGUAGCACAGGCAUUGCUAAAUAAAUAUACAUAGUUUUCACUCCCCUGUCUCA